rnacentral:rRNA from 1 species
UACGUAGGUGACAAGCGUUGUCCGGAUUUACUGGGCGUAAAGAGCGCGCAGGCGGCUGGUCAAGUCCGAUGUGAAAGCUCCCGGCUUAACUGGGAAAUUGCAUCGGAAACUGAUCGGCUGGAAGGUGGGAGAGGGUAGCGGAAUUCCCGGUGUAGUGGUGAAAUGCGUAGAUAUCGGGAGGAACACCAGUGGCGAAAGCGGCUACCUGGCCCAUUCUUGACGCUGAGGCGCGAAAGCUAGGGGAGCAAACGGG